AAACAUGUAUUGAUUUUUAUUAUAGGUCUCGUUCGUCGUAAUUGGACUAAUCGAUCUUGCCUACCAUCCUGUUAUAUCACCACCCAUACUCUGAGUCC